GAGAGAGUAGAGUGGUUGUAUUUUAUUUGGAUGAGUUAUGGGAGGAGUUUGAAAUUUGGGGACGAUAGUUAAAAAUGGAACUUCUCUACAGUUGAGACAUGGAAGUUCAAGGCUUCACGUGGCUGACUUUGAAAAUGACAAAUUUUCUUUGAAUGGCGUCUUUGGCUGUGCUGCUCUCGGAUGAUCCGCUCCACCCAUAUAUGAUCUCAUUUCAUUCCCUUAUGCAUCGCUCUCUUAUUUUCAUAAAUUCAUACAAACACAUUAAAUAAUCUUUACUUUAUAAAAAUAAUCAAAUUGUUCCACUGAUCUCAAUUUUUAUAUAUACACACACACACAAUCAUUUAAUUGAAAUUUC
rnacentral:misc_RNA from 1 species